AGCAGCGUGGCUUAGUGGAAAGAGCAAGGGCUUUGGAGUCAGAGGUCAUGGGCUCUAAUCCCAUCUCUGCCA
rnacentral:tRNA from 1 species